rnacentral:rRNA from 1 species
UACGUAGGGGGCAAGCGUUAUCCGGAUUUACUGGGUGUAAAGGGGGCGCAGACGGCGAUGCAAGCCAGGAGUGAAAGCCCGCGGCCCAACCGCGGGACUGCAUUGGGAACUGGCGCGCUGGAGUGCCGGAGGGGUAGGCGGAAUUCCUAGUGUAGCGGUGAAAUGCGUAGAUAUUAGGAGGAACACCAGUGGCGAAGGCGGCCUACUGGACGGUGACUGACGCUGAGGCUCGAAAGCGUGGGGAGCAAACAGG